AUUGAACGCUGGCGGCAGGCCUAACACAUGCAAGUCGAACGAGUGGCAGACGGGUGAGUAAUGUCUGGGAAACUGCCCGAUGGAGGGGGAUAACUACUGGAAACGGUAGCUAAUACCGCAUACCAUCGGAUGUGCCCAGAUGGGAUUAGCUAGUAGGUGGGGUAACGGCUCACCUAGGCGACGAUCCCUAGCUGGUCUGAGAGGAUGACGAGCAACACUGGAACGGAGACACGGGCCAGACUCCUAAGGGAGGCAGCAGGGGGGAAGAUUGCACAAUGGGGGCAAGCCGGAUGCAGCCAUGCCGCGUGUAUGAAGAAGGCCUUCGGUUUGUAAAGUACUGUCAGCGAGGAGGCGUUACUCGCAGAAGAAGCACCGGCUAACUCCGUGCCAGCCGCCGCGGUAAUUC
rnacentral:rRNA from 1 species